rnacentral:lncRNA from 10 species
CCUUUCUCCAAACAACGUUGCCACACGCGGAGAGCACGGAGAUUUCUGGGGCUUUGGAGGGAAUCGUGAGCGGGCGGGAGGAGGCCGGGGACCACACAGGUGAGCCCCCGCCCGCGCCCUGCCCGGGACGGCGGCGGGCGCUGCCAGCCCCGCUCCCCCGCACCCGGGGUCCGCACGGUGCCUCGCCUCAACCCCUCACUUUUCACCGCGAACCCGUGACCCCCUCCUCCUUGCUUGCUCUCCGCCCCCACCCCGGCUAAGUGUAGCCGCCACACUUUCCCAAGCCCGCAGGCGCCCCCCCCAACACCAGCGCUGCACCCCCGACCCAUUCCCCGCGGCCCCCUCCAGGAGAAAAAAUGAAACCAGACUGGCCGAGGAGGGGGGCGGCAGGGACCAGGGUGCGGAGCAGAGGUGAGGGAGACGGGACUUACUUUGCGAGGCGCGGUGCAGGGCGCCGCCGACGAGAAAUAAAGGCCCCGAUACGGGCUGCCUGGAGCCCCCCGAGCGCAGCAAUGUCAGGGCUCCAGUCCGGGCGGCGUUGGCGGCCGCAGGGGACGGGGACGGGCGCGCGUGCGGCGGGCGCUCUCGCUGCGCUCCGGCUCGGGCCCCGGCUCCGCGCGGCUCCGCUCCUGGCUCCCCUCUGGCUCCUGGCACCAACUCCGGGCAGUCACAUGACGCCGGCGCCGCUCGCUCUGCGAGCCUCCCGGGGCUGGCGGGAGAAUAACUUGUCUGACUACCAGUAUUCUUGGAUGCAGAAGUGCUGAAGAUGAGCACACACACGUACGGAGAAUUUCUGGAGAAUUCAGCUGCUCAGAACAAGAACUGAGAUCCAGAGAGAUGAUGACUUUGCCCAUAGACCAAACAAAGAAAUACAUGUUUCAGUCCUGUGUCCUCCUGCUAUGUGUGUCCGGAAUUGGUGGGUUCUUGGUCUCACUGACUUCAAGAAUGAAGCUGCGGACCCUCGCGGACCGUGUGUGAAUGCCUGCUCUGUGAGCCCUCAGAAUCUACUGGCUGAAUGAGUGCGUGGAGGAAAUGUGCUCAGAGCUGCUGUGUGUCAUCCUGUGUUUGAAGUGCUCCUGCAGCUAUCAUUCAUCCAGUUAAGAAUUUGAAGAAGUGUGUGCACAAAGACGGAGUCUCACUCUGUUGCCCAGGCUGGAGUGCAGUGGCACAAUCUCGGCUCACUGCAACCUCUACCUCCUGGAUUCAAGCGGUUUUCCUGCCUCAGCCUCCAGAGUAACAGGGAUUACAGGCAUACUCCACCUUGCCCUGCUGAUUUUGUAUUUUUAGUAGAGACAAGAGUUUCACCAUGUUGGCCAGGCUGGUCUUGAACUCCUGACCUCAAGUGAUCCACUGCCUCAGCCUCCCAAAGUGCUGGGAUUAUAGGCGUGAGCCACUGCGCCUGGCCAAAUGCUCUACUUUUUAAUCAAUGUUUUCCAAAAUAGGGAUUUUUGCUAUGUGCUUUAGAAAUUAGAGAACAAACGGUGAUAAUAUAUGCUAAACUUAAAAUUAGUAUGCCUCCUUUUAUAGACAACAAGAACUUUGUCACUUCCCAGUUUGUCUUGUCAUUCAGGAGGCUCAGAGCUACGAUCUGUGCCCACUCGUGCUGCCUCUUCUUAACUUUGAUUUCCUGAAGCAGCGAUUUCAUCUCCGUUUCCCCUCAUCACCUGUUCUUUUAACUGUUUAAAAACAGCAUUACAUGUUGUUGCAAGUGGCCUCAAAUUCUUUUUGGUAGAAGGGAAAUUGUAAUCCAUGAGAAGAAAAAAAUUUUCCUAACUAUUCUCAGGUGUGUUUAAGGGCUGCAUUCCAUGAUGCUAUCAGUGCCUUCUUUCAGCUCACAGGAUAUCGGCCAUGUUAAUGAGUCUGAUGUUGCUAGUAUCACAGGCACCGGAAAAUAUGCACAUUAUGCUGGAGCAUUAGAAUGCAACAGAAAGAGCCCUGGGCUUGGAGUAUGCAGAACUGGUUCUUGUUACAACUCCUCUUACUAGUGGGCUCUGGAAGAAAACACAUUGAAUUCAUGAUCAUGGUUAACCUUUGGAGAGAGAGAGGAGACCAGGAUGAAGGAGCCAGUCGAAGAUCCUGUUCAAGUGUACACUGAGCCAGCAGGUUCACCAGAAAGCUAUUGAGCGUUUGCUGGAACACAUUAUGCAGGGUGAAUUUCUUCUGGAAUGUUGCCAAGGAUUUUUUAUGCUUCUGUGGCAGGCAUUUCUUGAACAUUGUCAUUUAGCCAAGCAAAGAAGAUUUUCUUAAAGGAUAGAAAAUGUUUAAAAAUUUUUGUUUGUUUGAAGAUAGGUUAAAUGGCUAUAUGAUCUCAGGAUAAGACAGAGAAAAUCACUUAUUUCUCUAAGUGAUCUGAUUAGGUUAGUGAUGUUUUGCCUUUAAACAGAUUCAUCAUUAUUCCUAAAGUAUUGCUGUAUUAAUACUGUCUUCUAGAAAGUAUCCACCAGUGCCUACUUUUCUUCGAUAUCAUUAGCUGUUUUUCGAAACUGAAUUUGCUCUUCAGAGAUUUCUCAUAUGUUUGCGUAUAAGGAACUACUGGUAAUAGCCAAGAAAAUUUGGAGGUGCAGAGAACAUGCUGAAACAGAAUUUUUCACUUUCAAUUCUAGAACUAUGCCAUAAAAAAAAAGGAAAAUGU